CCUACGGGAGGCAGCAGUGGGGAAUAUUGGACAAUGGGGGGAACCCUGAUCCAGCCAUGCCGCGUGUGUGAAGAAGGCCUUUUGGUUGUAAAGCACUUUAAGCGAGGAGGAGGCUACUCUAGUUAAUACCUAGGGAUAGUGGACGUUACUCGCAGAAUAAGCACCGGCUAACUCUGUGCCAGCAGCCGCGGUAAUACAGAGGGUGCGAGCGUUAAUCGGAUUUACUGGGCGUAAAGCGUGCGUAGGCGGCUUUUUAAGUCGGAUGUGAAAUCCCUGAGCUUAACUUAGGAAUUGCAUUCGAUACUGGGAAGCUAGAGUAUGGGAGAGGAUGGUAGAAUUCCAGGUGUAGCGGUGAAAUGCGUAGAGAUCUGGAGGAAUACCGAUGGCGAAGGCAGCCAUCUGGCCUAAUACUGACGCUGAGGUACGAAAGCAUGGGGAGCAAACAGGAUUAGGUACCCUGGUAGUCCAUGCCGUAAACGAUGUCUACUAGCCGUUGGGGCCUUUGAGGCUUUAGUGGCGCAGCUAACGCGAUAAGUAGACCGCCUGGGGAGUACGGUCGCAAGACUAAAACUCAAAUGAAUUGACGG
rnacentral:rRNA from 1 species